GUUCCCGGUAGGUAAGGCUACCGCAGGGAUACGGGCUGCUGCCGCGAAAUGGUGGAGACAUCAUGAGAUGGUUUGAACAGGCGAUAUCGAAUCCAAGGUAUCAUCUAACGCAGUUUCAUCGCCCUGCGAUGCUAAAGCUUGAACGGUA
rnacentral:sRNA from 1 species